rnacentral:rRNA from 1 species
UGGGGAAUAUUGGACAAUGGGCGAAAGCCUGAUCCAGCAAUGCCGCGUGAGUGAUGAAGGCCUUAGGGUUGUAAAGCUCUUUUACCCGGGAUGAUAAUGACAGUACCGGGAGAAUAAGCCCCGGCUAACUCCGUGCCAGCAGCCGCGGUAAUACGGAGGGGGCUAGCGUUGUUCGGAAUUACUGGGCGUAAAGCGCACGUAGGCGGCUUUGUAAGUUAGAGGUGAAAGCCCGGGGCUCAACUCCGGAAUUGCCUUUAAGACUGCAUCGCUAGAAUUGUGGAGAGGUAAGUGGAAUUCCGAGUGUAGAGGUGAAAUGCGUAGAUAUCAGGAGGAACACCUGUGGCGAAAGCGGCGCACUGGACCAUAACUGACGCUGAUGCGCGAAAGCUAGGGGAGCAAAC